rnacentral:rRNA from 1 species
GUACAGGAAGCAGCUUGCUGCUUCGCUGACGAGUGGCGGACGGGUGAGUAAUGUCUGGGAAACUGCCUGAUGGAGGGGGAUAACUACUGGAAACGGUAGCUAAUACCGCAUAACGUCGCAAGACCAAAGAGGGGGACCUUCGGGCCUCUUGCCAUCGGAUGUGCCCAGAUGGGAUUAGCUAGUAGGUGGGGUAACGGCUCACCUAGGCGACGAUCCCUAGCUGGUCUGAGAGGAUGACCAGCCACACUGGAACUGAGACACGGUCCAGACUCCUACGGGAGGCAGCAGUGGGGAAUAUUGCACAAUGGGCGCAAGCCUGAUGCAGCCAUGCCGCGUGUAUGAAGAAGGCCUUCGGGUUGUAAAGUACUUUCAGCGGGGAGGAAGGGAGUAAAGUUAAUACCUUUGCUCAUUGACGUUACCCGCAGAAGAAGCACCGGCUAACUCCGUGCCAGCAGCCGCGGUAAUACGGAGGGUGCAAGCGUUAAUCGGAAUUACUGGGCGUAAAGCGCACGCAGGCGGUUUGUUAAGUCAGAUGUGAAAUCCCCGGGCUCAACCUGGGAACUGCAUCUGAUACUGGCAAGCUUGAGUCUCGUAGAGGGGGGUAGAAUUCCAUG